rnacentral:rRNA from 1 species
AGUGAACGCUGGCGGUAGGCCUAACACAUGCAAGUCGAACGGCAGCACAGUAAGAGCUUGCUCUUACGGGUGGCGAGUGGCGGACGGGUGAGGAAUACAUCGGAAUCUACUUUUUCGUGGGGGAUAACGUAGGGAAACUUACGCUAAUACCGCAUACGACCUACGGGUGAAAGCAGGGGAUCUUCGGACCUUGCGCGAUUGAAUGAGCCGAUGUCGGAUUAGCUAGUUGGCGGGGUAAAGGCCCACCAAGGCGACGAUCCGUAGCUGGUCUGAGAGGAUGAUCAGCCAGACUGGAACUGAGACACGGUGCAGACUCCUAAGGGAGGCAGCAGUGGGGAAUAUUGGACAAUGGGCGCAAGCCUGAUCCAGCCAUACCGCGUGGGUGAAGAAGGCCUUCGGGUUGUAAAGCCCUUUUGUUGGGAAAGAAAAGCAGCAGGUUAAUACCCCGCUGUUCUGACGGUACCCAAAGAAUAAGCACCGGCUAACUUCGUG